rnacentral:rRNA from 1 species
CUACGGGUUGCUGCAGUGGGGAAUAUUGCACAAUGGGCGCAAGCCUGAUGCAGCCAUGCCGCGUGUAUGAAGAAGGCCUUCGGGUUGUAAAGUACUUUCAGCGGGGAGGAAGGGAGUAAAGUUAAUACCUUUGCUCAUUGACGUUACCCGCAGAAGAAGCCCCGGCUAACUCCGUGCCAGCAGCCGCGGUAAUACGGAGGGUGCAAGCGUUAAUCGGAAUUACUGGGCGUAAAGCGCACGCAGGCGGUUUGUUAAGUCAGAUGUGAAAUCCCCGGGCUCAACCUGGGAACUGCAUCUGAUACUGACAAGCUUGAGUCUCGUAGAGGGGGGUAGAAUUCCAGGUGUAGCGGUGAAAUGCGUAGAGAUCUGGAGGAAUACCGGUGGCGAAGGCGGCCCCCUGGACGAAGACUGACGCUCAGGUGCGAAAGCGUGGGGAGCAAACAGGAUUAGAUACCCUCGUAGUC